ACAUUACUGCCCUUCUCCACAGAGUAUCUUUGCGAGAGUGGGUUUUCAGCACUUGCCCACAUAAAGAACAAAUAUCGACACAGACUCUGCAUAGAGAAUGAUUUGAGACUCAGACUUUCUCCGAUACAACCAAACAUCACAGAGUUAUGCAAGUCAUUACAAGCACAUCCAUCUCAUUAAGCAAAAGGAGGACAGUACAUCGGGGAUAGCAUGAGGGGUUAAUCGGUGAAAAGAAGACAGUUGUAACAAUCCGGGUAACAGGUAACAUCCACAGGUGAGUAUAAUCUAAAUAACAGGUGACAUCCACAGGUAAUAAAGAUUGGUCCAACUAGUGCACAGAACAUAAUACAACUAGACACGACAACAAAAGUCAGGUGAAAGGGAACGAGGAUGGCCGGGAGAAGCUGCUGAUGCGAGGGGCGUGGCUGCCAGCAGUGGAGUACAUUUAGGUUUAUAGGUUUAAUGGUGUUCAGAUACAGAUAUAAUCAAAUGCAAUAAUCAAAAUGCAAAAUAAUAUUUUCAGAUAACAGAAUGCAUAUUCUUCACUGUUCCAUAUAAAAAUGACAUAACUGACUGUUUUCCAGGUUACUCGUCAAGUCGGGUAUUUUGACAUACUUCUGUAUGUAGCCUAUCCCUUGAAGCACAAGAAGACAUGGAAAGAAAGGAAGAGGCACGGGCUGAUCGAGCAAGUCACAAAUCCGUCAACUGUCUCGAUCGUCUUUCACACUUGCUAUCUGGCACUUUACCGGGGGUUAUGAAACCCUGCUCCGAAGCAGGGUUAACACUGCUUUUGCAGGGUUAACUCCGCAUUGCGGUGCCAACAUGUGCAGUGUGAAAUGAAGCGGGGGUAGAAUGAUACGACCAGACGCUUAGCAACGGAUACCCAAUCAAAAACUGAACAGUGCUUACCUCAUUUCACAAGCUGUGCACAGUCACAGAAACUCUGUGCGCAGUGUAAACAAUCCUUUGAGUUUUUUAUUUAUUUGAAUGU